AAAAUAGGGAAUCUGGAUAUAUAGGGCCACCUGUCGUGACUGUGAAGAAGAGAAGAAAAGUUGUAGGUAUUACAAGUAGAAGGAGUAAUAAUCUGGAAUUCAAUGUUGGAAUGGCGUUUGUAAACAUGGAGGAAUUUAGAAAUUCAGUAAAACAAUAUGGUUUGGAUGAAAGAAGGGGUGUCCAUUUUGUGUGCAAUGAGCCUGAC
rnacentral:lncRNA from 1 species